rnacentral:tRNA from 1 species
GGGAUUGUGGCUCAGAGGUAGAGUGCUUGCCUACUAGCACGCAUGAGGCACUGGGUUCAACUCUCAGCACCA